AGACGUGUGCGGACCGGUCAGUGUCCAGCGCUGACCGAUGGGGCUGUGAUGUAUGUGGCCCAGUCAGUGUCCAGUGCUGACCGGCAGAGCUGAGACGUGUGCGGACCGGUCAGUGUCCAGUGCUGACCAGCAGGGCUGUGAUGUAUGUGGCCCAGUCAGUGUCCAGUGCUGACCGGCGGGGCUGAGACGUGUGCGGACCGGUCAGUGUCCAGUGCUGACCAGCGGGGCUGUGAUGUGUGUGGCCCGGUCAGUGUCCAGUGCUGACCAGCAGGGCUGAGACGUGUGGGGACCGGUCAGUGUCCAGUGCUGACCAGCGGGGCUGAGACGUGUGCGGACCGGUCAGUGUCCAGUGUCUGGGCAAGUCUACUGAAGGGCACAGGUUCAGGAAGCUGAAAUAAUUGAUCAUUCUCCCCCUUCCAGACUGCCUGCUCCAUUCGUAUGGCAGGUAUGUAGCCUGGUGCUUUGUGCCUUACGACUCACAAAGUCAAUACCUACACAAUAACCACUGUGUGUAGCAGCAUCAACCCCUCCUAGCCUGAUCAGUUCUGCAAAACCACCACUGGGGGGCGACAUAACUUCACUCUCUCAAGUGGUUUUCCAUCUCGGGUUGGGCUCGUGAGUUUAAAGCAGGAUGUGUCUGUGCACUGAGCACUGAACCCACACCUGCAAAAUCCAGCAGGUCCCUCGUUUUACAUCCGAGUUCUGGAAAAGGCUUUGGAAGCUUGGGGGUGAUUGCAUGCCACAUGGAAGCAAUUCAUUGUAAUAGGCUCCCGGGUGAUGGGGAAGAGAAUGUGGAUCAUUCCUCCAGGCUGGAGGGGAAACCACCUGGAGCCGAGUGUGCAGGGACAAUAUGAACCACUGGCACACUUUCACAGGGCGUUGGAUACCUUCACAAGACAGCUCACCGAGAGAUGAGCUGAGUGCACUGCGCGGGGCGUGAUCAGAGCAGCUGGCGGAGAGGGCGGGUCCCUCUCACUCUGGUGCUUCAGGAGGGCGACCCCGGCUCUCCACCGGACCAGGCCUGGACACCCCCUCUGCCCGGGAUCAGGGCUGGAGCGUCCCGCAGCGUGGGAACUGGGAUCCGUUCCAUCUCCGAUCCCAUAGUGACAGGCAGCUCCCAGGCCACACUGGGAAUUGGCCCCCUCACCCUGCUUAACUGCUCUGCUGAUUCCGAUCACAUUCUGCUGCUUUCGCGUGAGAGAGGAUUAAAACAGCUGCCCCGAGAUCAAACUGAGGUCGCUGGGUCUCUGUGUCGGCUCUGCCUGGGCUGCGACAGGAGAUCACACACUGGGCUGCAGCUCUGCUGAGUGUCCUCCCCCUGUAGGACUGGGGGCUGUUUGUGCAGGUGUGGGAAUUCUGGGAUUAGAACCGGUAAUUUAAGGAAGAAUGUUUGUCUGGUGGAGACUGGUGGCGAGUGCUCUGUGCCCAGAGUGCGGAGACUGAUGGAGAGUGCUCUGUGCCCAGAGUGCGGACUGGUGGAGAGUGCUCUGUGCCCAGAGUGCGGA
rnacentral:lncRNA from 1 species